UAACGCGUGAGGAACCCCUGCCUUCAGAGGGGACAACAGUUGGAAACGACUGCUAAUACCGCAUAACACAUAGGUGUCGCAUGGCAUUUAUGUCAAAGAUUUAUCGCUGAAAGAUGGCCUCGCGUCUGAUUAGCUAGUUGGUGAGGUAACGGCUCACCAAGGCGACGAUCAGUAGCCGGACUGAGAGGUUGGCCGGCCACAUUGGGACUGAGACACGGCCCAGACUCCUACGGAAGGCAGCAG
rnacentral:rRNA from 1 species